rnacentral:rRNA from 1 species
UUCUACGGGGGGCAGCAGUGGGGAAUAUUGCACAAUGGGCGAAAGCCUGAUGCAGCGACGCCGCGUGAGGGAUGACGGCCUUCGGGUUGUAAACCUCUUUCAGCAGGGACGAAGCGCAAGUGACGGUACCUGCAGAAGAAGCACCGGCUAACUACGUGCCAGCAGCCGCGGUAAA